AACGAACGCUGGCGGCAUGCCUAACACAUGCAAGUCGAACGACACCUUCGGGUCUAGUGGCGCACAGGUGCGUAACGCGUGGGAACCUGCCCUUAGACUCGGAAUAACACCCCGUCAUGGGUGCUAAUACCGGAUAACGUACUCGGAUCCAACAUUGAUCCCCCUUGUAUGGGCCCGCGUUGGUUUAGCUUGCUGCUAGGGUAAAAGCCUAUCAAGGCGACGAUACAUAGCUGGUCUGAGAGGAAGAUCAGCCACACUGGGAGUGAGACACGGCCGAGACUCCUACGGGAGGCAGCAGUGGGGAAUAUAGGACAAUGGCCGAAAGCCUGAACCAGCACUGCUGCGUGAGUGAUGAAGGCCGUAGGGUUGUAAAGCUCUUUUACCCGGGAUGAUAAUGACAGUACCGGGAGAAUAAGCUCCGGCUAACUCCGUG
rnacentral:rRNA from 1 species